rnacentral:rRNA from 1 species
CUACGGGGGGCUGCAGUGGGGAAUAUUGCACAAUGGAGGAAACUCUGAUGCAGCAACGCCGCGUGGAGGAUGACACUUUUCGGAGCGUAAACUCCUUUUAUAUAGGAAGAAGAUGACGGUACUAUAUGAAUAAGCGCCGGCUAACUCCGUGCCAGCAGCCGCGGUAAUAGGGAGGGCGCAAGCGUUACUCGGAAUCACUGGGCGUAAAGAGCGUGUAGGCGGAUUAAAAAGUCAGAAGUGGAAUCCUAUAGCUUAACUAUAGAACUGCUUCUGAAACUCUUAAUCUAGAAUAUGGGAGAGGUAGAUGGAAUUUCUGGUGUAGGGGUAAAAUCCGUAGAGAUCAGAAGGAAUACCGAUUGCGAAGGCGAUCUACUAGAACAUUAUUGACGCUGAGACGCGAAAGCGUGGGGAGCAAACAGGAUUAGAUACCCAGUAGUC